UACAGGGGGUGCUAGCGUUGUUCGGAAUUACUGGGCGUAAAGGGCGCGUAGGUGGCUUGAUGAGUCAGGAGUGAAAUCCCGGAGCUUAACUCCGGAAUUGCUUUUGAAACUAUUAGGCUAGAGUAUGUUAGAGGAUGGCGGAAUUCCUAGUGUAGAAGUGAAAUUCGUAGAUAUUAGGAAGAACACCGGUGGCGAAGGCGGCCAUCUGGGACAUAACUGACACUGAGGCGCGAAAGCGUGGGGAUCAAACAGG
rnacentral:rRNA from 1 species